rnacentral:lncRNA from 1 species
UGAAUAAUAAUGUUUAGAGAUCAUAACCGUAAACCAUUUCAGUGUCUGCAACUUUAAAAUCUUAUGUACGUCUAGUGCUCUAUUUGUAUGUCAUUUGUUCUUAUUGUGUUUGUCAAUUCCAUGCCUUUUAUCUCGAAUAAAUAUCUUCAUUAUUAUAAUAAUUGGUUGCACCAAUUUCUUCUAUCCUUGUCGCACUCACAUGGUCAAAGUCAAUAAGUUGACAAAACGUACUAGAAUUAAAUUUGAAUGAUUGUUUACAUACUGUGGAUUUCUAUUUAUCUUUAUUGGUACUAAAUUUCAAUUUGUAAUUCGUUGAUCAUUUUGAUUUAUGGUUUAUCCUCUAGAUAUAGGUUUAGAAAAAAUAAUCUUUCAGGCCACAAUUAAAAAUAUUUUGGUUUGCCCAAACCCUACCCAAAGAUUGAGACAGUGGGAAGGUAGGUAGGUAUUUUUUUUUCAAAAAGAGAAAUUGAAGUAUCGGGUGUUUAUUAGUCUUUAUGCCUAUCUGAUUAAAAAAAAAACUUCUUCAAAUCAGGACAAUAAAAGAAUUUGAGUAGGCAGCUUUUUGUCUAGGUAGGUAGCGUUUGGGCAAACACACCUUUUCUUUUUUAUGGACUCAAAGUACUUCAAUUUAACUUCUAGGUAUGCUGAAGAUAUCCUAUCACCUGGCAGAAAGAUAAAAUUGUUUAUGGUCGCCGAAUAUGGUUGUAUCUUUAUAGUUUUAAAGUUUUAGUGCGUUGAUUUUAAUCAUAUAUCGACGUCCCCUUUCCCUUUUUUCCUUUUGCAUGCAAGUGUGAUCGACCUUCUAAGUAUAUUCACCAUUACAUAAUACGGUAGAAAUACAUGCAUAUACAAUGGGGAUGAUUCGGGAAAGAAGAUAAAGGGUAGGUAUUUUAGAAAUCGAUGGUUAUUUUUAAUCUAGUUAGUCAGUUUUGGUAAAGUGGCUAUAUCUGGUAUUUGUCAUAUAGCUACACAUUAUGAAUUUACUUGAGGGUCUUCGCCCAAUUUCUUAUAUGAUACGUACUUUUAAUUUCAAGUUAUAAAAACAAUGUAUAUGAAGUAUGUUCAAUAAAAACAAACGGAAAACCACAUUUUACACACGCCAAGAAAAAUUAUCUAAACAAAUAUAAAAAUAAGAAUAUG